GUACAAUCAGCUCACUAUCGGCGGAAAUUACAAGGAGAUCGUUUAUCUCCUCCAGUCAUCUUCACCACUUCUUCCAGCAAAAUAGCUCCUCCAGUCCAAAUCACCUUGAAAUCAGAUAAAAAAUCAGCGAAAAUCAGUCAAAAAGACCUCAAAACAAUCACCUCUCUGCAGUAAUUCGUUUUCCUUCUAAACUUCCCAUUAUUUGUUUAUGUUUAUUUACUGGAAAAGGCCUCCAACUCCAAUUCGGUCGUCUUCUUUGGCGAGUUGAGGCCGCGCUCGGCUGCUGCUCUUCUUAAUCUCCUUCUCCGGCGUACUCGGUUGAGAAAUCGAGUGUGCUCAACUUCAUUCUCAUUUGGCCGUGGACUUGUUUCUCAGCUCUCUUUCUCUUUCUCCGGCGAAAUCGAGUAAGCCAGGUAUUGGAGAUAUCGGACUCGGACAGCGUUAAAGUGUGAUCGCAAGGAUUCAAGGUAGAGCUGCUUGGUCAUCGCAGUCCCCUGGAGUCUUUCCAUUUUAUUGUACUGUUAAUUAUUAAUC